rnacentral:rRNA from 1 species
UGCCAGCAGCCGCGGUAAUACGUAGGGGGCGAGCGUUGUCCGAAUUCACUGGGCGUAAAGCGCGCGUAGGCGGAUAUUUAAGUUGGGGGUGAAAUCCCGGGGCUCAACCUCGGAACUGCCUCCAAAACUGGAUGUCUUGAGGUAUGAAGAGGGAAGUGGAAUUCCAGGUGUAGCGGUGAAAUGCGUAGAUAUCUGGAGGAACACCUGUGGCGAAGGCGGCUUCCUGGUCAUAUCCUGACGCUGAGGUGCGAAAGCCAGGGGAGCGAACGGGAUUAGAUACCCCGGUAGUCCUGGCCGUAAACGAUGGAUACUAGGUGUUAGUGGUAUCGACCCCACUAGUGCCGGAGCUAACGCAUUAAGUAUCCCGCCUGGGGAGUACGACCGCAAGGUUGAAACUCAAAGGAAUUGACGGGGGCCCGCACA